rnacentral:lncRNA from 1 species
AGGAAGGGUCCGCUGUGGCAAUCGAGGUGAUCACAGGCGUCGUCAACGGCGGCGGAGGCGCAGAGCACGGCCACAUUCCAGAUACCAGAGCUGUGGUUGGCCUCCUGGUGCCUGGACCGCGGCGGCAAGGUUAGUCUCGCACGCUCAACCCCCGUGAUUGGAUCCCAAACCACCAAGGAAUCGUCCCAGUGCUUCCGCUUAUGGUUCCAGAUCUCGCCGUGGAGGAGGACGCGGCCAUGGCGUGCGUCGACCGCCCUGUAGUCGAGGCGGGCGGGGGACGAGCGGAAGGAGGUGGUGGAGACGAAGGAGGUGAGGGG